UGAGUUUGUCCUAAGUCAAUCUAUCCUAAGUUUGACCAAACUUAUAGAGAAGGCUAUUAAAAAACAUCUAUCAAAUCAAAGAAGCAAACUACAAAAAUAUAUUUAAUAAUGGAUCUAAUGAUGCUCAUUUGAUACCAUAAGUAUUAUUUUUCUUCUCUAGAAACUUGAUCAAACUUAGAAUAGUUUGGCUUAGGACAAACUCAA
rnacentral:pre_miRNA from 1 species